GACGAACGCUGGCGGCGUGCUUAACACAUGCAAGUCGAACGAGUGGCGAACGGGUGCGUAACACGUGGGCAAUCUGCCCUGCACCCUGGGAUAAGCCUGGGCAACUGGGUCUAAUACUGGAUAGUGCAGGAUGAGCCCGCGGCCUAUCAGCUUGUUGGUGGGGUAAUGGCUACCAAGGCGCGACGGGUAGCCGGCCUGAGAGGGUGUGCGGCAACAUUGGGAAUAAGAUACGUGCCAGACCCCUACGGGAGGCAGGAGAGGGGAAGAUUGCACAAUGGGCGGAAGCCGUAUGCAGCGGCUCCUCUUGAGGUAUGACGGCCUUCGGUUUGUAAACCUGGUUCAGUAGGGACUCGGGACCUGAAGAAGAAGCACCGGCUAACUACGUGCCAGCAGCCGCGGUAAGAC
rnacentral:rRNA from 1 species